UUGUUGUUAGCGGUGUUGUGCCGAGAAACGCAUGUCCUCCGAGAAUUGCAUGCACUUCGCAAAACGCGCACCGCUUAUAGUAGAGUGGUCCACGGAAAUGUACAAUUUAAAACCCAUACAGUUCUUAUUUGUUGGGCUUAAUAGUCAUGAGUAAAGUUCCGAAAGUAAUUCUCAGCGGACACACGUCUCCCUCCAUGUGCAGAACAUGUGCAGGGGUGGGUUUCCUCCUCCCUGAUUUUGAUUGACAGCUGGCAGGGUAGUCUGAUUGGCAACUGAGAAGUGAGUCUGAUUGGCAACUGAGUUAAGGACGAAGGUGAUUGGUGGAUCGCUGCACAGCACAUGCAGAGUCACAUGCAGUGUAUCUCAGUUAG
rnacentral:lncRNA from 1 species